rnacentral:rRNA from 1 species
UACGUAGGGGCCAAGCGUUGUCCGGAUUUAUUGGGCGUAAAGAGCUCGUAGGCGGUUGGGUAAGUCGGGUGUGAAAACUCCAGGCUCAACUUGGAGAUGCCACCCGAUACUGCUCUGACUUGAGUUCGGUAGGGGAGUGGGGAAUUCCUGGUGUAGCGGUGAAAUGCGCAGAUAUCAGGAGGAACACCGGUGGCGAAGGCGCCACUCUGGGCCGAAACUGACGCUGAGGAGCGAAAGCUAGGGGAGCAAACGGG